rnacentral:rRNA from 1 species
UACGAAGGGGGCUAGCGUUGCUCGGAAUCACUGGGCGUAAAGGGUGCGUAGGCGGGUCUUUAAGUCAGAGGUGAAAUCCUGGAGCUCAACUCCAGAACUGCCUUUGAUACUGAGGAUCUUGAGUAUGGGAGAGGUGAGUGGAACUGCGAGUGUAGAGGUGAAAUUCGUAGAUAUUCGCAAGAACACCAGUGGCGAAGGCGGCGACCUGGGCAGAUACUGACGCUGAGGUGCGAAAGCGUGGGGAGCAAACAGG